rnacentral:rRNA from 1 species
ACGCACGCUGGCGGCGUGCUUAACCCAUGCCCGUCGAACGGAAAGGCCCUGCUUUUGUGGGGUGCUCGAGUGGCGAACGGGUGAGUAACACGUGAGUAACCUGCCCUUGACUUUGGGAUAACUUCAGGAAACUGGGGCUAAUACCGGAUAGGAGCUCCUGCCGCAUGGUGGGGGUUGGAAAGUUUCGGCGGUUGGGGAUGGACUCGCGGCUUAUCAGCUUGUUGGUGGGGUAGUGGCUUACCAAGGCUUUGACGGGUAGCCGGCCUGAGAGGGUGACCGGCCACAUUGGGACUGAGAUACGGCCCAGACUCCUACGGGAGGCAGCAGUGGGGAAUAUUGCACAAUGGGCGGAAGCCUGAUGCAGCAACGCCGCGUGCGGGAUGAUGGCCUUCGGGUUGUAAACCGCUUUCGCCUGUGACGAAGCGUGAGUGACGGUAAUGGGUAAAGAAGCACCGACUAACUACGUG